rnacentral:rRNA from 1 species
AUCUUUUGCCAUACAACCCUGAAUUUGCCCGAUUUCAUCUAAUCUUGAUAGCUAAGUAGGGCUUGGCCUGGUUAGUACUUGGAAGGGAGACUGCCUAGGGAUGCCAGGUGCUGUAGAAU